rnacentral:rRNA from 1 species
AGAGUUUGAUCAUGGCUCAGGACGAACGCUGGCGGCAUGCCUAACACAUGCAAGUCGAACGCCCCGCAAGGGGAGUGGCGGACGGGUGAGUAACGCGUGGGAACCUGCCCUUUGGUUCGGGAUAACCCGGCGAAAGCCGUGCUAAUACCGGAUGUGUCCCCUGGUCGAGAGGUUGGGGGAGAAAGAUUUAUCGCCAAAGG